GAUGAACGCUGGCGGCGUGCCUAAUACAUGCAAGUCGAGCGAACGGACGAGAAGCUUGCUUCUCUGAUGUUAGCGGCGGACGGGUGAGUAACAUGUGGAUAACCUACCUAUAAGACUGGGAUAACCUCGGGAAACCGGAGCUAAUACCGGAUGAUAUCUUGAACCGCAUGGUUCAAAAGUGAAAGACGGUCUUGCUGUCACUUAUAGAUGGAUCCGCGCUGCAUUAGCUAGUUGGUAAGGUAACGGCUUACCAAGGCAACGAUGCAUAGCCGACCUGAGAGGGUGAUCGGCCACACUGGAACUGAGACACGGUCCAGACUCCUACGGGAGGCAGCAGUAGGGAAUCUUCCGCAAUGGGCGAAAGCCUGACGGAGCAACGCCGCGUGAGUGAUGAAGGUCUUCGGAUCGUAAAACUCUGUUAUUAGGGAAGAACAUAUGUGUAAGUAACUGUGCACAUCUUGACGGUACCUGAUCAGAAAGCCACGGCUAACUACGUG
rnacentral:rRNA from 1 species